UUGAACUAAUUACUAGCUUUCUUCAAGACAGCAGAUUUGUUCUCAGGUGCUCUUGGUACCUUUGCCGUUUUUCUGAAGAUGAAUUAGCCAGUGGAGAACUCCUUCACUUCACCAACACUGUGCUGGUAAUGAGUUAUGCAAACGUCUGAAAGUGGACACCGCUCGAGAGGCCAGAGGAGUCCCAGCGAAAAACGCACAUUCCCCUGGAGUCCCCAUGGCAAGACGACGCAGAGGAGGAAACAUGGAGCCUAUAGAGCUCAGGACUCAACUAAAAUGAUACUGCAGGCUGGCUUUUAAGGUGUUAACCUGAAAAAAAUCCUACCAGUUCAACUGAAGAUGCUCUCACUUGUAUACAGGGUGACUCCUCAAAGGCAUUCCCGAGCGUUCAUACAACAUUAACAAGCAGCAAAGAAAUUUGCACACUAACACUUGCCAUGAAAUGGAUGUCAGUUCGAUCCCUGGUCCCUGAACUCUGUCAAAGUGUCCUUUUU